UCAAUCGAAGCAAGGAUUUAGAUAUGAAAUGGAUUGAAGAAUUACAGAUAUGAUUUGGCAGGUAAGAAAAGAAAAUCACAAAGUCUGUGAUUUCUAAGUGAUUUAUUUCUGGGAAUAUUUUUACCUUCAUGUAAAGCCAUCUGGGGGACUCUGGGAGAAAGGCCAUGAGGACAAACUGAAGAACUGCUGGCAAACUUGCAACUCCAAGCAUCCAACGCCAUGUUCCAGGAACCUGGAUAAUUUAAAAUAAGAAAUUCACAAACAGUUUAAUCAUAAACAUUUGUAAUUGGGCAAGCACUGAGGUAGAAUGAAGUACUCUGAUGGUGAUACUUCUGCAAUAUAGACAGGAGCAGUGACAGAGGCAGC
rnacentral:sRNA from 1 species